UGUAUUUAAGAGUAGUAUGACAAGCAAUAGGCUGCUUAGAGGCAGCCCUAAAUCGUGUAACACUAUCUCUCUACAUUGUAACACUUUGGUUGAACACAAGUAAAGAAGAGAGAGCUACACGAAAUUGAUAAGAGCUUGUCUUUUCUUAUUGAUGUGUUAACCUUUACAAUGAGAUUACAAGGCUUUAUAUAGAAGGAGAACUAGGUUAAGAUGUCUCACAAUUCCCUUUAAUCCUAGCCCUUCUUUUCUCUCUUUAAAUCUCCACCAUUGAAUUCAAAAUAGCUUCUAGAAGGUUGUGGUCCACUUUUGUCUUCUAGAAGGUUGUGGUCCAACUUUGACCAAGACCAAGUUUGAAUUUGAGUCUCCUUCCUUUGUCUCCAACGGCUCUUAGGUCUUCUAGAAGGUCUCUCAUGGGCUUCUCUUAUGUGACACCAAUCUUGCACAUUAUUAUCUUCACUAGGUGACACGAGUUUUGCACAUUCUUGUAUUCAUGCAUAGACUUCAUUUUGCAUCCUCGGUCUUGAUACUUUUGACACCAAUUAUGCACAUUAGGUCAUGAUAACUUUGACACUAAUUUUGCACAUUGGGUCUUGAUAACUUUGACACCAAUUUUGCACAUUGGUGUCUCGUCUUCGGCCUUGUCUUGAGAUCUUCGGCCUUGACUCGUCUUAUGUGUUUACACCAAUUUUGCACUUCGGUGUCUUGGUGACUUUACACCAAUUUUGCACUUCCGGCCUUCAUACCUUGAAGUGACCCGAGCUUUGCACGGCUAUCUUAUGGAGUGAUAGACUCCUAGAUGAGGAUCUACUCCCAAGAACACACUUUGUUGGUUUUGAACAUGAAGGAUGCAGCGGAAUGGAAGAAGAGCGAGAUCGUAGGUGGAAGAUGAACGGACAAACGGAUGAACGGUUGCAGCGGAUUGAAGGUGGAACGUUUUGUACUUCCAAGAGAGGUGGAAAUCUCUUAGACUACGAGCUUGAAUACAACUUAGAUAUUACACACUAAGAAGGAAACAAGUUGAGAAGAUAUUACGCACUUCUCGGAUCAAACAAGUAAAAGAGAGAUUUUUGAUAAAAUGUUUGAUAAGUUCUCAUAAGAGAAUACAUAGAGAAUAUAUAGAGGAGAAGGAGAGAAGAGAAUGUAGAGAGACAAGUCUUGGAACAAGCUCCAAGGCUGCCUAGAAACUUAACAAAAUAUUAAAGAUAGAAUUUGAAUAGAAAAGACCCUUUGGCUUCAAAGAUGACUCUUGAACUCCUAUUUUCGUCACUCCUCUUGGCCAGCAAAUUAAGCACUUGGUUUGGAGUCUUCUUGGGCUUGUAAUGGCAAUAAAAUGGGCUGGACUUGAUAGCUAACACCUUGGAAGAUUUUCUGAAUAUUCUGGCCCGGUCUUGAUCAUCAAAUGGGUGAUUUGGAUGUGAAUCAUUUGCCUCAUUAAAAACCUUUCUUUGGAAAACCCAUUGGGAUAAAACCAAAGAUAAGGGAAAAAGAGUACAAAUGAGACACAUGCCCAUUUGUUGAUCAUGUAUCAAAACCAACGAGGUUAAGAUAACUUCUUUUGCGUUAUUUUCCUCAGCUACAAGCUGCUCCUUAGCUCCAUUUUCCUCAGCUACAAGCUGCUUCCUAGCUCCAAGCUUCUCAGGUUCAAGCAGCUCCAUAUCUCCAUUGUCCGAGCUAUCCAUGAUCACAUCAUCCCCUCCCUCUUGAAAAAGAUUUGUCCUCAAAUCUGCUUCUUCUGCAACAAAAGGGAUUAAGUUAGAAAAGUUGAAACUUAAGCUCAGAUUAUACUUACCUUGCAAGCUUUGGUCAUAAGCUUUUUCUCUGGUUGGCUCAAAGAUCUGAAAUGAAAAAUUGCUUCUUGGCGUCAGCUGGAUCUGUUUGUUGUUUGGAAAACACUUCAUUUGAAUCCAGAAACAUCCACCAGGGUCAAAGAUCAUUCUCCAUUGCCUCUUGUUUCCUUGCCAUUCAUCCUGCUCAUUUCUCAACUGCUCGCAUGGAUCAUAAUCAAUCUUAACAGUAAACCUCAUUAGCCACAAGUUAAAUAGCCACGUUUCUGGUGCAUGAGCUUUCAUUGCUUCCCUUUGUAUAACCUGUGCUUUCACCACAAAUACUCGAAAAACAGGAUCAUAGGUGCAAAAGGUAUACUUCUUUUCUUCAACAAACAGGUAAUUACUUAGAUCAUCUAAACAAGAUCUCAGAAAUUUAGCAUGAUCAUCAAAGAUUUGGUUAUAAACUAGAAUAUCAAAACCUUCAGUGAAUGGAUAGGAAACAGAAAAAGCCUCUUUAGUUUUAACGUAUGAAAUGCAGUAGGCUAUCCUAGAGAGAUUAUCAAACUCAAACAUAGAAUCAUUCAAGAAACAGUUAAGCUCAAACAGUUUAAUUUUAUUAAGCAUAAAUCCUUUAGUUCUAUAUGUAAAUUGAUCAUAAGGCUGAAACACAUCUUUAAUUCCAUCAUGAGAAUCGUAAGACUCUUUAGCCUGCUCAAAAUCUAGCAACCUAUCAUUGGGUAUAGCAAGAAAUUCAUACCUUUGAGUCGUUGUAUCAGUUACAACAUGUUUCUUACCUUGUUUGCUCUGGAUGAUAUAAAGAAAGGUCUUACUGGAUUCGCCUGAUUCAUCAAGGAAUUGAUGUUCAAGUCCAAAGAAUGGUGGUAAUCCUCCUGGGUUGUUUUCUUCAAAUUCCUGCAAGAGACACUUGAUUUUGCUAGGUAUGACCUGCUCAGGAUUAGUUAGACUCAUAAGAGUCUCUUUAUAAACAAACAAUUGCUUAGGCUUUUGAAAACAACUUCCCCUUUCCUUUUUCUCGGUGAUCAUGAGGUUGGUUUGAGGUUGAUGCAAAUCUGGUGGUUUUUCUUUGAUUGUCAUUUCUCUUAUGUGCUUAUGCUUCUCCAAAACUCUUGUUCCAGAAAAAGGCAUAAUGACAUGUUUUGGCAUAUGGCUGGUUGGCCGUUCCAUUUCACUAAUCAAUGACAAACUCCUCGGUUCUCCUUCUAAUGAUUUUUCCUCAAGCAACUGUGACAGAAGAACAAUACUACUCGGUUGCUCCGGUUCAAAAUGGGUUAGUUUGUCAAGCACAAAAUCAGAUUGAAUACAAGAAAGAGUACACUUAGCUUGUAAGGAGGUGAGAUGCUUCAGAGUUUUGUUUUCAGUUUGCUCUUCCUUGUUGCUUAAGUGUUGCUGGUUUUGAUCAGCAUUGUAUGGUUGAGUCUCCACCUUGUCUUUGUUGCUGUUUUCAGAAUUUUCUUCUAGCACAAUAAGCUCCUUGCAGAUUGGUAAAGACUGAUCUGAUUCUGAUUUUUGAAUAACCAUUUCCCUCUUAAGAAAACUUGAUCUCUCAUUUGCUGUUUCAGAACCAACAGAUUUGGUAGUGCUUGGAUUUUUCUUUUGGCUUUUCUCAACAGCCUUAAAUGCUUCCAUCACCCGCUUGUGCACUUCUUCAUAAUCUAUUUGUGUACUCAGCUGGUUCAGAAGUGGUUUAGCUUUCUUGAAACUUCUCUGAACAUCACGGUUGCAGUAGUCAUGAUUUGCUUUAUCUCUUACUGAUCUGCUUCUCCAGUUAGGCUUCUCUUGGGGUCUCCUUGGUGGUGGCUCUCUAUGGUAGUGACUUGGUACGAAUCUCUUUCUCAUUAUGUUCUUCAUUUCAGUCCAAGUCUCUACUGGAUAAUCCCCUACACGUCUCCUUGUAGUAACCAAAUGAUCCCACCAGCUUAGUGCAUAAUUCUGAAAUUCAGUAGACGCAACUUUAACCUUGUUGGCCUCGGUACACUCUUGGCAAACAAAGACUAACUCAAUUUUCUGCUCCCACUCCAAGUAAGUAUCCGGAUUGUUGGUUCCGUGAAAAGCGGGAAUCUUGAGUUUUAUUUUUCCCAAAGGAUCUCUAGGCGGGGGUCUUUCUCUUCGCUGCCUACGUUGACUAUUGUAAGAGGAGGCAUGGCUGUAGUAAUUUCUUGCUUCAUCAUAUUGCCUUGGUUCCUCUUGUUGUUGCCUUUGACGUUGAUUUGGUUCCGGGUUGAUUUGAUUCAAGUGUAGAGCACCAAGCUUCUCGUCGAUCAUUGUUGCCAUUGCAGCUGUGACGGAUUUCAAGAUUUUUCUCUCCAAGCUAGAGGUGGAUGACUCUUCGUCUUCAGAUGUCACCAUUGUACCUGAAAAAUCGAAAAUCUAACAAGUAAACAGUCCAAAAACAGACAAAUCUAAACGGAUCUGGAAAAAUAUCAAAACGAUUCCAAAAAUUCAAAAAUCAAUUUUCAAAACUACUAGACUCGUUACUGGUUCGAACGCAAUUGGUUUCACAAUUUUUCAACAAGCCAAUUAUUUUUCAAAAUUAAAACAAGAUGCGAUCAGAAAUCUGGAAAAAAAGUGAAAUCGAGAAAAAAGAAAAUUUAGGGUUGGAACAUCAAAACCUGAUAACAAAGUGGCUCUGAUACCACAUGAUAGACUCCUAGAUGAGGAUCUACUCCCAAGAACACACUUUGUUGGUUUUGAACAUGAAGGAUGCAGCGGAAUGGAAGAAGAGCGAGAUCGUAGGUGGAAGAUGAACGGACAAACGGAUGAACGGUUGCAGCGGAUUGAAGGUGGAACGUUUUGUACUUCCAAGAGAGGUGGAAAUCUCUUAGACUACGAGCUUGAAUACACCUUAGAUAUUACACACUAAGAAGGAAACAAGUUGAGAAGAUAUUACGCACUUCUCGGAUCAAACAAGUAAAAGAGAGAUUUUUGAUAAAAUGUUUGAUAAGUUCUCAUAAGAGAAUACAUAGAGAAUAUAUAGAGGAGAAGGAGAGAAGAGAAUGUAGAGAGACAAGUCUUGGAACAAGCUCCAAGGCUGCCUAGAAACUUAACAAAAUAUUAAAGAUAGAAUUUGAAUAGAAAAGACCCUUUGGCUUCAAAGAUGACUCUUGAACUCCUAUUUUCGUCACUCCUCUUGGCCAGCAAAUUAAGCACUUGGUUUGGAGUCUUCUUGGGCUUGUAAUGGCAAUAAAAUGGGCUGGACUUGAUAGCUAACACCUUGGAAGAUUUUCUGAAUAUUCUGGCCCGGUCUUGAUCAUCAAAUGGGUGAUUUGGAUGUGAAUCAUUUGCCUCAUUAAAAACCGUUCUUUGGAAAACCCAUUGGGAUAAAACCAAAGAUAAGGGAAAAAGAGUACAAAUGAGACACAUGCCCAUUUGUUGAUCAUGUAUCAAAACCAACGAGGUUAAGAUAACUUCUUUUGCGUUAUUUUCCUCAGCUACAAGCUGCUCCUUAGCUCCAUUUUCCUCAGCUACAAGCUGCUUCCUAGCUCCAAGCUUCUCAGGUUCAAGCAGCUCCAUAUCUCCAUUGUCCGAGCUAUCCAUGAUCACAUCAUGGAGAUCUUUCUCUUCACUUGGUUCAAUACUCCCCCGCAAGCUUGAGCGUCGGGACAAUAAGGACCAAAGGUCAAGCUUGGAGAUCUUCGGCCUUGUCGUCAUGACUUCGGCCUUGACUCCUUUCUACUUCUUCUUAUAUUUUAAUACCCUCCCGCACGUUUGAUCGUCGGGACAACAUGAGGACCAGAGAUCAAGCGUGGACUCGUGUCGACUACCUCAUUAAAAACCUUAACAAAGAAAACCACUUGGGAUAAAACUUUGUUAAGGGAAAAAGAGUAUAGCCUUCACGGUCAUUGAUGUCGCUAUGAUCUUGGUUUGUUAAGAACCGGCUCUCUUCUCUUCAAGUCUUUGAACCGCUACACUGUCUUUAACCCGCUUCUCAUGAUCUCCAAUCUUGCACUUCUCGAAUUUCUUUGAGGCUCUCAUAGUCUCCUUUACCCUUUAAACAAGUGAUAAAGAAGAGUGUAUAAGUAUAUGCUAUGAGGAAUAUCAAAGAAAAUUCUAAGAAUGUGACAAGUCUAAGGGAAACAUAUUCGAGCAUAAAGACUAGCAAUUGAACUACGGUAAUGAAUUUAAAUAGAGUAGAGUUUUAGAGCACAGCCUUUGGUUUGAAUCGCCAUUCUUGAUGAUGGCUUCUUUUCUUUAUCCCUUGAGAGAACUUCUUCAACGUGAAUUGAAGAGGACUUUUGGAUUCAUCAUGAUUUUAAAUGCUUUGAACAUUUCGUUCAAAGACAUCCCAUGGUUCUCUUCCCCCUUCUUUCCUCCGUGAGUCUCUUCUUCAAGGGCUUUGAUUUUGUGGUCGCCAUUUCUUCUUGGAAUUCUCUCAAGAAGAGAUGGAAGGCAUAAGCCUGAGAAUAAGAGACAAAAAUGAAAGUGUAUGUUACCAAGAAUAAGAGAAUAAAGAGUAUAAAGAGUAUAAAGAGUAUGGACUCAAGAGUGCCAAUGGACAAAGUUCUUAGCUUUGUUUUCUUGAGUUGAGGUUGAGAGUAUGUGGGGUUUAGUAACCAGAAUGGGCAUGAGAAUUGAAGCCGCUCCCUUUCUUCAACACGGGUAGCCAUUAUUUUCUACUCCGGGUUCUUCAAGGUCUAACUCCAAGACGCCAUGAUACUUCCAACGAGUACCAAUCAUGUUGUCUACUUCGUGGACUCCAUGGCUACUCCAAACUGAACUUUUGUUGCGGUUUGAGCUCUCUUCUUGAGGUCUCUAGAUCGCUUCUUAGAACAUGUUAAACCAUGAUGGUUUUAACCCUUUUCGAGCCUUGAAACCUUGUACAUCAAUGACUUUGAAGUCUUGUGCACAUUCAAACUUGAGCUCCAUGACUUUGACACUUGAAUGCGUGAGUUUGAUUCAGCAUUCCCACCAGAUUUCUUCUCUAAUUUGAUCGUCCACCAAUGUCACUUCCUUUCUAACAACCACUUGAGUUCGCUGGCCAGAUUUCUUCUUCGGGUUGUCUUGAGUUUUGACUUGGUUGGAUCGUCUAAAUGGGCUUCAAAUAUAACCGGCUCUACUCUUCACUUUCUUAGUCCUUCAUGACUGGUUCUGAAUCCUUUCCUUGUCAACUUUUACUUCCUUGAGGCUCUCAUUGGUCUCUUUGAGGCUCUUAUGGUCUCCUUCACCCUUAAACAAGAGAUAAAGAAGAAAAGAUUAAGUUUUGCCAUAAGGAAUAUCAAAGAGAAUAUCAAAUGAGGAAUAUCAAGGCUAUUAAGCAACAAUUAGGAGUUCAUGUAUAUAUUAAACUGUGAAUUCUAAGGCAAUGGUUUAAUGAAGAAUAUCAUGAAAUGAGAGUAGAGUUUAGAAACAGCCUUUAUUUGAAGAAGACUUGAACUUGUGCGGUUUGUUCGUCUAAUGGACUUCAAGUCUGAUGGUGAAUGGUUCUAACCCUCCCGCAAACUUAUAGUGCCCAGAUUAUCCAUCCAUUAAUCUCUAACAAAUGCAUUCGCCUUCUCUUUAUGAGACAAGCGAUUCCUUGCAAAACAGAUUAGAGUUAAUGGACACCAAAACAAACAAAAAUGGUGAGAGAUUAGUGUAAGUGAAUAGAAUGAGCAGAAAUAAAGGAGAAUAAUAGUAUAAAGACAAUAAAGGAGAAUGGAGAAUAGAGAGUUUGCUCAAGAGUUCAAAUGGACAGAGUUUAGCUCUGUUUUCUUGAGUUAAGCGGAAGCUUUAACAACCAAGGCAUCCAAUAAUCAUCAAGACUUUGGUGCUUUAAUGGCUGAAACAAUAUGGACCGUUGGGCAAUUCAUUUACCCACCGGUUUAAGACAUAAACACACCGAAAUAACUCAUGACCAAGAGUUUUCCGGUGACUUUAAAGAACUAUGAACCACGAAAUACCAUAUUGAAGAUGGUUUCCGUGGCCUAGUUUUAAAGAAACCAUUGGAACAAAACAGUUUGUCCAAUGGAAUCCUCAAUUUCUCUUCACAUGCUUGGUCUAAGAACUUUAACAAGACUAGAAUCCAAGCUUUUCUCAACAUUGAGCUGCUAGAGAAAUGAUUUUAACAAUAAAAGCUGAAACUUUAAAGAAUCUAGUCUAAAGCUGAAACCUUUAAAGAAGCUAAGCAAUUUAACAACUAAGAGAAAUUUAGAAAUAACUUGAGAACGAUUUUAAGAGUUCCAAGAGAGCAACCCGCUCUGAUACCAUGUUGGAUUUGAAGAGACUAAGCUCAUAAGAAAGAGUAAACAAUCACUUGGUGAUUGAAUCUCAGUUUAUCCACACAAAGGGAACUCAUUCUCAAGAGGAAGAAACCAUCAACUUGUGAUGGAAUCCACACCAAUAUAGCUUGAUAGAACCGAAAUCUCUAUGGAGAGAAUCGAUCCUAGCAAGACAACUAUCUCUAGUAUGAAGCUAGAUUCGUGAGAAGUAACACAACACUAAAGGUUUGUGUACUUAGAGAGAAACGAAUCUAUGAAUCAUUUAGCUAGAGUAAACAACAUAAAUAAGAGAUUAAGAAGAGUUUAAGGUGUAUUUAAGAGUAGUAUGACAAGCAAUAGGCUGCUUAGAGGCAGCCCUAAAUCGUGUAACACUAUCUCUCUACAUUGUAACACUUUGGUUGAACACAAGUAAAGAAGAGAGAGCUACACGAAAUUGAUAAGAGCUUGUCUUUUCUUAUUGAUGUGUUAACCUUUACAAUGAGAUUACAAGGCUUUAUAUAGAAGGAGAACUAGGUUAAGAUGUCUCACAAUUCCCUUUAAUCCUAGCCCUUCUUUUCUCUCUUUAAAUCUCCACCAUUGAAUUCAAAAUAGCUUCUAGAAGGUUGUGGUCCACUUUUGUCUUCUAGAAGGUUGUGGUCCAACUUUGACCAAGACCAAGUUUGAAUUUGAGUCUCCUUCCUUUGUCUCCAACGGCUCUUAGGUCUUCUAGAAGGUCUCUCAUGGGCUUCUCUUAUGUGACACCAAUCUUGCACAUUAUUAUCUUCACUAGGUGACACGAGUUUUGCACAUUCUUGUAUUCAUGCAUAGACUUCAUUUUGCAUCCUCGGUCUUGAUACUUUUGACACCAAUUAUGCACAUUAGGUCAUGAUAACUUUGACACUAAU
rnacentral:lncRNA from 1 species